UGAAGCCAGUCGAAGAUACCAGCUGGCUGCAACUGUUUAUUAAAAACACAGCACUGUGCAAACACGAAAGUGGACGUAUACGGUGUGACGCCUGCCCGGUGCUGGAAGGUUAAUUGAUGGGGUUAGCGCAAGCGAAGCUCCUGAUCGAAGCCCCAGUAAACGGCGGCCGUAACUAUAACGGUCCUAAGGUAGCGAAAUUCCUUGUCGGGUAAGUUCCGACCUGCACGAAUGGCGUAAUGAUGGCCAGGCUGUCUCCAC
rnacentral:rRNA from 1 species